rnacentral:rRNA from 1 species
GAUUGAACGCUGGCGGCAGGCCUAACACAUGCAAGUCGAACGGCAGCACAGAAGAGCUUGCUCUUUGGGUGGCGAGUGGCGGACGGGUGAGUAAUGUCUGGGAAACUGCCCGAUGGAGGGGGAUAACUACUGGAAACGGUAGCUAAUACCGCAUAACGUCGCRAGACCAAAGUGGGGGACCUUCGGGCCUCACACCAUCGGAUGUGCCCAGAUGGGAUUAGCUAGUAGGUGGGGUAACGGCUCACCUAGGCGACGAUCCCUAGCUGGUCUGAGAGGAUGACCAGCCACACUGGAACUGAGACACGGUCCAGACUCCUACGGGAGGCAGCAGUGGGGAAUAUUGCACAAUGGGCGCAAGCCUGAUGCAGCCAUGCCGCGUGUAUGAAGAAGGCCUUCGGGUUGUAAAGUACUUUCAGCGGGGAGGAAGGCGAYGYGGUUAAUAACCGSGUCGAUUGACGUUACCCGCAGAAGAAGCACCGGCUAACUCCGU